rnacentral:other from 1 species
CAUCCUCUGCAGUGUUCGUGAACUGGCUUAGUAAACCCUUGAGCCUUAGUACAUUAGACGGGGGGUCAGGAAUACUACAGUGGUGUGCAUGUCCGUCCUGAACGGAAAGCCUGAACUGUAGCCGAGACUCCCACUUGAACCUGCCGGUUCAAGGUCACAAACCAGAAACGGCACAGGCGGAGGAUGU